GGUUUGACGAGUAAUAGUUCACUUCAUUUAAGUGGCUUAGGUCAUCUAAAGUCUAUAAGUAUAUACUAGUGUGAGGGUGGUGCGGCGUACCGAGGGGAAGGGUAGAAGCUGGUGGUGAUAAGGGAAAGAAUCGGAAAUUGAAAGAGAAAUGAGAGGAUUCGCUGCUCUUCAAGUGUUCUUGGUGUUUUUAAUAGUUUCCACCAUCGGAAAUAGUUGCAGAGCUGCUUUUCUUCAGAAGAGCAACGCCACUUUCCGGUGUGAGGAUGGCCACCUGGACGACUGCCUGAUCGCCGAUGACUUGGAAUUGGAGGUGUUGAUGGAUUCUUACAUUACCCGAAUCCUUGGUGAUACUGAUGAUCCGCCAUUUGCUGAUUUCACCAACAACCCCUCCGAAACCGCUGCGUGUAAAAAAAAAGGCACUUCAUAUACAAGUUGCGGAUGCCCCCAAUACAAACCAAAAUGUAAAUAGAAAACCUAAAUAUUUUCCUCUUUUUAUCCCUCGUUUGUGUGUGAAAGUGUCUUCUUCCUCAUUCCUCCCUCUUCUUCUUUGGGUCGAUCAUAAAUUUCAUUUUCUGUGGGUAGAAAAUGAAUCAAUCCCUCCACUGCGAUCAGCAUGUAUGGCUUCGGCAGUUUGCUUCCUAAUUGUAAUGUCUUUUCUAAAUCUGUUUAUGUGUGUGCAAUUAGCUAUAGUUCCAUUUCUACCAAUGAAUAAAUAUAUUAUGAUAUCUUGAUCUCAUAUAAUUUAUUUACCUGUUUAUGUAUCCUAGAAAUGACUACAAAUGUCAGUAAUCUGCAUGCACAGUAAAACUUUGAUGGAG
rnacentral:misc_RNA from 1 species